rnacentral:lncRNA from 1 species
GGGGUCCUCCAGAGAUUACCCCGGCGGCGUCUUCUUGGAACUAGCUUUGAUUUUUUGCCACUAUCGGAAACAGUUACUUGUUGAUUCUCCGAUUUUUCAUUGCCAGCUACAUCAGCUACUUGUUGUUUCUCAGACUCUGUAGAAAAACGCCGUACAAGUUCAGAGCACCAUCUCUGUUUCUGUACAUUAUAACUCAGAUGCCUCACACUUGGAUUUGAUUUUUG